rnacentral:rRNA from 1 species
UACGGAGGGUGCAAGCGUUAAUCGGAAUUACUGGGCGUAAAGCGCACGCAGGUGGCUGAGUCAGUCGAUUGUGAAAGCCCUGGGCUUAACCUGGGAAUUGCAGUCGAUACUACUCAGCUAGAGUAUGGGAGAGGGUAGUGGAAUUCCCGGUGUAGCGGUGAAAUGCGUAGAUAUCGGGAGGAACAUCUGUGGCGAAGGCGGCCAUCUGGACCAGCACUGACACUGAGGCACGAAAGCGUGGGGAGCAAACAGG